rnacentral:lncRNA from 9 species
UUGCUGUGUCUGUGGCAUAGACUGGUGGCUACAGCUCCGAUUCGACCCCUAGCCUGGGAACCUCCCUAUGCUGCGAAGGGCUGGCCACCUCAACUUGCCAUUAUGGCAUUAUCUUUUGGGGGUACUGGCUUCUUUGCCAACUUAGAUCUCCUUUGCCCCUAGUGCUUGACCCUCACGACAUCCCCUGUGCCAUAGGUACUGCUUUCCCAUGGAUGAGAAAAUAGGUCCACACAGGCACAGGGAUUUGCUCGGGAUCACAGUGAAAGUAGAGGCAAAGCUGGGAUUGGAGCUCAGGUCUCCUGGGAUCUAGAUGAGGCCUCUCCUACACCCCUCCUUCCACUUUCACAAAUACCGGUUUUUACAGUGGGGCAGGAGGGAUUCAGUGUUGGGCAAGUCAGUGAAGGUGAAUGUGUUCAGUGAGGGGAGGGCUUUGGGAAGCAUAGUCCUUUUCGAUACAUCUGGGGAGCUGCUGGAGAAGCCAGGGCAUCCCUGGCUAGAAUGGAGAGAACAAAGGAAGCAGGGUAGAGCGAGGAAGCCAGAGGACUAGAGCACCAGUCUGAGAGCUCCAAGGGCACAAGAAGGAGCCCUUUGAUUCUUAAGCCCAGAUCAAGUCACAAUCUUCCUGGCUAGGGACUACCUUAUGUCCCCUUGUCUUACAAAGAACUCACAGAGCAUGGUCACAUAAGGCGUAAGCCUCUUGCAGGAACAAGCACCUGCUAGGUACCAGGCAGUGGUCUCAUUAUUGCCUUAUAUGUGCUACCUCAUUCAGUCCUCACUGCAAUCCUUUGGAGGAGAUAUUAUCUCCCAUUUUACAGAUGAGGACGCAGAUGCAAAAAAAUCAAGGGAUAUGUCUAAGACGAAAAAGCUAAGGCUUGAACGCAGGCCGUCUGCCCCUGUAAUCUGUGACUGGGUACUACACUGCCUCUGCAUGCACCUGGGGUGAGGACUGAAGGGCAACCUCAUCCAGGUGGACCCCCUCCCCCUGGGACAAUGGAGGGGGCCUUUUUGUAACAGACCCUCAAUGCCCCAAGCCAGAGAGUGUGGUCCUGCAGCAUAUGUCCAGUGCUGGGGACCCGAAUAGGAAAGGGGUGCAAACACUGCAAUGGAAGUGUAAACGACCUGGAACAGCACAGGACAAUGACCACCCCCUCUCACCACCAGUUCUCCUUCCAGAUUCUUGCUUCCCAAUCUGGUUUGCAGGCGGAACGAAAGAGUUAAGGGAGGUAAUUUGGGGUGAUGAGCUAGAAGUGGCAGGGCGUUCAGGAAACAGCUUGGGAUUGCAGUGUUUGUGCUAGCUCUGCAGCAAAGGCUGGACAGUCAGGCACUUGGGAGGAAGGUAGCAAACAGGAUGGGCCAGGGCAGCCAAGCCUAUGCCAUAAGACUGGGAGGUGCUGACUGAGCCUCCACACGGCUUCCUCUCCAGGGAAGAGGCCAGGGCCCAGGGAGAGAGACUGGACAGAGGCACAGAUGCUUGAGGUUGGAGCCCAUUCCACCAUGAGCUGAGGCGCCUGCUAUGCCAGAGGUGACCAGAGGGCUUAUAGGAGGUCUGAGUGAAGCAGGCACAGAAGAGGGGGUCUGCAGGGUAGACAGCACUAGCUAAGGAAUGAUGAGAGAGAAAGCAGAUGUCUCUGCUGUGAUCCCCUGAGCUGCCCAGCCUCCCUUCCUACCAGUCUGGCAGGACACUAAGUUCACUUCUGUCCUGAGGGGAGACACAGGAGCACUGGAAAGGGCAGGGAUCCCAUGACCCAGCUGGAUGAGUCUGCCUUGAGGAGACUAGACUACUGGUAUGAGGGUAACAGCUCCGGGCACUGAGCAAGGUCUCUCUGGGCCAUGGGGACCAGAUAUGGGCCAACCAGGAACCAUGAGACAGACGGGAGGCUGGCUGAAAAUAACAUCUCUGAGUCUCUCUGAAUUCCAGGGAGAUCUCUAGUGGACAUCCCUGCCUUUCUCUUUCCCAUUUAUUUUCUCCAUGCAUGGGUUAGAUGGAUAGGUGGUGGGCAGCAAACUGCCAGGGUACUAGAAAACAGAGGGAGGUGGGGUUAAGCAGUGGUUGGCUGAGAGGGGGAGGGUUUGCAGAGCUGGCUGGGGGAGCAGGAAGACAUAGCCGCCUAAGAGUGGGUGGGUCCCCAGGCUGGAACAGAGAAAUGCCAGGUACAGGUUGAGGGGCCUAUGCAGCUUGAAGACCUCCAGCCCCUGAUGUCCAGAACCAGCGGCUGCUCUCUCUCCUGAAGACACAGCGAUGCAGAAAGGAGCUGGCCUAGACUCUUUCUCCGUGGGUCGGGGAGACGGAGCUCGGCUGGACAAAAGGAGGAGCUGCAGGCAGUUAGAGCUGAGACUCCGGCCAUUCCGGCCAGGAGGGUGCGCAGAUGGGGGCGACUGGGCUGCUCAUCCCAGCCCGAGCGUCGCUGACUACGAUUUCUUGCGCUGGGCAGCUACCGCGGCACAGCCAGACCUCCGCCAACCUUGUAAACCACCUCGCCCCACCCUUCCCACCCCGCCACACCCACGCGACCUGACGCGGUCCAGGCACGCCUGGGCUUUGGGGAGCCUCUCCGGGCGGCCCGGACGAGGCGGAGAGAACUCGGUUAUUCGUGGAUGCUGGUUCCUUCCCUCCU